AUGCUUGCUUUGGUAGCAUAUAUACUAAAAUUAGAACGAUAUAGAGAAGAUGAGCAUGGCUCCAGUGCAAGAAUGACAUGCAAAUUCAUGAAGUGUUCCAUAUUUUG
rnacentral:snRNA from 1 species